GGCUCCAUAGCAUAGUUGGUUAUUGUACUUCCCUAGUAAAGGAAGAGAUAGGAAGGGGUCACGAGUUCGAAUCUCGUUGGAGCCU
rfam:Polysphondylium pallidum PN500 unplaced genomic scaffold PPL_scaffold5, whole genome shotgun sequence.